rnacentral:piRNA from 1 species
CCAAGUCAUGGACCUUGGACACUACAGA